AUCCUUGAAGUGUUUUGAACAGUUUUCAUUAAACUUGCAUGACUGAUUUAUAUCUAUUAAGAUAACCUCCCUUUAGUUUUUUUUAUAAAUUUCAGCCAAUGCCCAUUAUAAAAAAAGGGGGGAGGGUGUUCCAACUAUAUCAGUGUCUUCCCUAGAAAAUUUCUCAUGCAUGGUGGGUCCAUGGUUAACUUGCAAUGUGGCGCGCGACACUUCUUUUUUUCAGAAC
rnacentral:lncRNA from 1 species